rnacentral:rRNA from 1 species
AAUUUUGGAUAAUCGGCGCAAGCCUGAUCUAGCCGUGCCGCGGCAGCAAAGAAGGCCUUCGGGUUGCAAGCUGUUUCGGUCGGAAUGAAAUCGCGCAGGCUAAUACCCUCCGCGGAUGACAUUACCGUCAUAAGAAGCACCGGCUAACUCUGUGCCAGCAGCCGCGGUAAUACGAAGGGUGCAAGCGUUAAUCGGUACUACUGGGCGUAAAGCGUGCGCAGGCGGUUGAUUAAGACAGGCGUGAAAUCCCCGGGCUUAACGUGGGAGCUGCGCUUGAGACUGGUCAGCUAGAGUACGACAGAGGGGGGUGGAAUGCCACGUGUAGCAGUGAAAUGCGUAGAGAUGUGGAGGACCACCGAUGGCGAAGGCAGCCCCCUGGGCCGAUACUGACGCUCAUGCACGAAAGCGUGGGUAGCAAACAGG